rnacentral:rRNA from 1 species
AGAACGAACGCUGGCGGCAUGCCUAAUACAUGCAAGUCGAACGAACUCUUCGGAGUUGGUGGCGCACGGGUGCGUAACGCGUGGGAAUCUGCCCUUGGGUUCGGAAUAACAGUUGGAAACGACUGCUAAUACCGGAUGAUGACGAAAGUCCAAAGAUUUAUCGCCCAGGGAUGAGCCCGCGUAGGAUUAGCUAGUUGGUGAGGUAAAGGCUCACCAAGGCGACGAUCCUUAGCUGGUCUGAGAGGAUGAUCAGCCACACUGGGGACUGAGACACGGCCCAGACUCCUACGGGAGCAGCAGUAGGGAAUAUUGGACAAUGGGCGAAAG